rnacentral:rRNA from 1 species
AAGGGAGAGGAAUAAGUAGAAAUCUACCCUCGGGUCGGGGAUAGCGGCGGGAAACUGCCGGUAAUACCCGAUGACGUCUUUGGACCAAAGGUGUGAUUCCGUCUGAGGAUGAGUCUACUUCCUAUUAGCUAGUUGGCGGGGUAAUGGCCCACCAAGGCAACGAUGGGUAGCAGGUGUGAGAGCAUGACCUGCCUCAUUGGGACUGAGACACUGCCCAGACACCUACGGGUGGCUGCAGUCGAGAAUCUUCGGCAAUGGACGAAAGUCUGACCGAGCGACGCCGCGUGCGGGAUGAAGGCCUUCGGGUUGUAAACCGCUGUCGGAGGGGAACAAAUGUACGGGGGUUCUCCCCUGUAUUUGAGUGAACCUAGGAGGAAGGAGAGGCUAAGCUCGUGCCAGCAGCCGCGGUAAGACGAGCUCUCCGAACGUUAUUCGGUAUCACUGGGCUUAAAGAGUUCGUAGGCGGUCUGGUAGGUGAGGUGUGAAAUCCCCCGGCUCAACCGGGGAACUGCGCUUCAAACCGCCGGACUUGAGGGAGACAGAGGUGGGCGGAACAGAUGGUGGAGCGGUGAAAUGCGUUGA